AGGAGCAGCAUGUUCAGGAGGAAAAGAAAAGAGAACUGGGUAGCAGAUGCCCUGUCCAGAAAAGAGGGAUUUUAAGUAUACUGCCUCCGCCAUGGACAUUGUCCAAGUCUCUGGCAGUAAGUUCAGGAGGAGGGUGUGACAUUGCACUUCAUAUGCUUUAUAGAAAUAUGCUUAUGAAUAUGAAAUAACUGGAAUAUGCUUUAUGAUAAAUAUCCCUUGUAUGCUGUCAUUAGAAAACUUGUAAUCUACUAAGUGUGUUCAUCCUAUUUGUUUGCAUGUAUUAUUUCUAUAGCUGGAGU